GUAUAUAUUUUUACAUUUUUUUUUUAGUUCAACUAAUUGGUUACUAUUUGGUGGUUAUCUUUUCUUGUUUUAAUUAAUCAGUAUUAUUUUGUAUUUAAAAAAGCGAAUGCUUAAAACAUAAAUUUUUUUUUGUUUAUCAUAUGUAUGUAUAUAUGUAUAUAUACCUAUGUAAUUUGUUUGUUUUCUUUGUUUAUAUCAAUAUGCAUGAAACAAUUACAUAUCCAUUAAAAUUAAACAAAAUGACAUAUUUUGCUCUAUGUUGUCAAAAUAUGAAGAUUUGCACAAAAAACAAAACAAAAAAAAAACAAAAAAAAACAAAAAAAAAAAAAAAAAAAAAAAAAAAAAAAAAAAAAAAAAAAAAAAGAAAUUUUUUUUUUACACAUUAUAAGGUGUACUAAGGAUAAUUUAUUUCUGGUAAAAAAUUAAAUAAAAAUAAAAAAAAAAAUCCUUUAAAUAUAUAC
rnacentral:lncRNA from 1 species